rnacentral:rRNA from 1 species
CGAGCACGCGCGUGUGGCAUAUCAAUAAGCGGAGGAAAAGAAACUAACUAGGAUUCCCUCAGUAACGGCGAGUGAAGCGGGAAGAGCUCAAAUUUGAAAUCUUCAAGGUUUUACCUUGACGAAUUGUAGUUUAUAGAAGUGUUUUCUGUUAGUGGAGUUGGUAAAAGUUCUUUGGAAUAGGACAUCAUAGAGGGUGAGAAUCCCGUAUUUGGACCAUUACUUCCUAGCGUUGUGAUACACUUUCAAAGAGUCGGAUUGUUUGGGAAUGCAGUCCAAAAUGGGUGGUAAAUUUCAUCUAAAGCUAAAUAUUGGCGAGAGACCGAUAGCGAACAAGUACCGUGAGGGAAAGAUGAAAAGAACUUUGAAAAGAGAGUUAAACAGUUCGUGAAAUUGUCAAAAGGGAAGCGUUUGACACCAGUGUUGUUUUUCCGAAAAUCAAUUACGAAUGUUUUGUUUUUAAGGAGUUAUGACUUCAUCGGCUUGCUUCUCUCUUUACGAAACUUUCUUAAUGCACUUUUCGGUUAACAAGUCAACAUCAAUUUCUUUUGUUGUAAAAGGGUAUGAGGAAGGUGGCUUUCUUUUCGGAGAAAGUGUUUAUAGCCUUGUAGCCUCUGCAAUCGGAGAGAUUGAGGUCUGCAGCGUAGAUCCUUCGGGGUUAGAUACAGUUUGUGCUAAGUUAUAGCUUUUCAUAGACAACUUGUUGACUAUGUUAGUCUUGUAGCUUACUCGCUGAUGCUAUUUUACCUACGCUUAGGAUGUUGAGCGCAUGUCUCUCUCU